GAAAGCAGCUUCGUUAAUAAUUGAUGGGCAAAGACGCAAUUACGAAAAUAUAACUUUACCUUUAUAUUGGAUGUCCAUUUCUAAGAUAUUAAGAGUUUUACCUGACAAAGCAAUGAAGUGCAUAAAAGACUUCUUCGAUUCUGGUGUCUAUCCAGAUGAUUAAAGGAAAAAACAUGUACCGGAUAUCGCAGAAUAGCUUAAUAUAAUUUUGUAAUA